CAGCAGCAACCUGGAAUAGUAUCUGGCAGAGCAGUGUGAGGACACCACAGCCCUGAAGCAUCAGAGAUCUCCAGAAGCUCUGUCUUGAGUUCGCCACAUUUUGGGAGGACUUCAGGUAUAGUCAGAUCGGGGCCGUAGUACCUGUGCACCACUUCUGCCCCAGCCAGCUGCGACCAUUUUCAGGUAUGAAAUGGCCAAUCUGUUGCUAUCAUUGUUGCUGCUACAGCUGAUCUGAUAGCAGACACCCACUGUUCUGUUCCCAGGAAGGGGGCAAGAUACCAGCUGCCUUUUGAGAGGCCCCAUAGCAUAGAAAUAAGGUGAGAAAUAGGAUAAGGCAUUCUAGCAUAGAAAAGAAGAUCAACAUGUGCUGGGCCCAUCCUAGACUCAAGCUCACCAGGGAGCCAUAAGCUCAUGGCUUGUGGGUGGGUAAAAUACUGUCUUUUCUAGAAAAGAGUUCCAAAAAUGUACUAGCU
rnacentral:lncRNA from 1 species